rnacentral:miRNA from 1 species
AUAUGCAAAAUUUUAAAAAAUUUGAAAAUCAUUUGAUACUUCGUUUUGUUAAUUCAAAUCAAUGUAUAAAAUAAUUUUAUGAUUAUCCAUCAAUUUUGAUUAAUAAAAUGAAGUACCAAAUAAUUUUCAAAUUUUUAAAAAGUUUGUAAAC